rfam:Nitrosococcus oceani ATCC 19707, complete genome.
GGGCGAUUAGCUCAGCGGGAGAGCACUGCCUUCACACGGCAGGGGUCACUGGUUCAAUCCCAGUAUCGCCCA